CUCUUCUCUUUUUCUUCUUCUUAUUCUCUAUUUAUUAGCGUCGUCUCUUCUCUUCUUCUGCUCAUUUUUCAAUCUGCAACUCUUCAGAAUUUCGUUCCAAUCAAAUUUGGUUCAUAUUUUUAUACAGUAUCUCGUGUGUUUUUUUGUUCUCUCUGAUUUUGCAAUUGGAUUGAUUUUCUCUCUUUGAUGUGUUGCAAAGUAAUAGUAAGUGCAUAAUGAUCAAUGAUUUUGUAUGUGUAGGUGGGUGCAUCUAACAAUUUUGAAAUCAUAUAGUUUUUCAUCUCCAUUUUAGGUAUAAUUUGCACUGAAAAUCUCUUCAUUGAUUUUAGCUCCACAUGGAAAAAAUGAUUAUUCUGCUCAUCUUUUUUUUAUCUACUUUUUCUGUACUUCUGUGUGUUUUAGGCUGUGCUCAAACAAAAACUCCUUUUAUUUGAUAGUUUUGUUGGAGUUGUCCUCUAGUUUUAGUUUUUUUGUUGACCUGUUUGUUUAAGUGUCUACAAAUUACUGCAGUCGGUGUCGGAUAUAUGAUACAUCUAUUUAUUGCAAUGAUGUACGAAUCAUUUGUGCAUGAUAUCAAUAUGGCAAGUUGAAUUAUAAAUGAAAUUUUGAUGUUCAAGAGCUAGAUGGUACCGAUUAAAGUACGUAUCUAUCAAAGUAAGAUAUGAGAGGACAAAUAAUUAGCCUGCUGAGAUGGAAUCAUUGCACGUAUGCAUUUUAGGCACAAUCCAUUUUGAUAGUUUUGUUGGAGCUGUCCUCUAGUUUUAGUUUUUUUGUUGGCCUGUUUGUUUGGGUGUCUAUAAAUUACUGCUGUCGAUGUCGGAUAUAUGAUACAUCUAUUUAUUGCAAUUAUGUACGAAUCAUUUGUGCAUGAUAUCAAUGUGGCAAGGUGAAUUAUAAAUGAAAUUUUGAUGUUCAAGAGCUAGAUGGUACAAAUUAAAGUAUGUAUCUAUCAAAGUAAGAUAUGAGAAGACAAAUAAUUAGCCUGCUGAGAUGGAAUCAUUGCAUCAAUGCAUUUUAGGCACAAUCCAUUUUUAUAGUUUUGGGAAGCCUCCUGAUUUGGGAAUGUGUUGUAGUAGAUCAACUUAGAGGAUAAAUUAAAGUCAUUAGGCAUACCAUCUCUCUUUUCAGAUGGUCAAAUGGUUUAUAUAUGCUAUUGAAUCUUCUUGUUUUUUUAUGUUUGAUUAUGUUUGAGAACAUUAUUAUAUUUACUUUUACUUUCUCAGGGUGUCUUAGAAAGAUGACAGAAAUAGAAUCAGAUUCGAAUAAAUUUCUUUUUCUUAUAGCUUGUCUGCAAGUGAAGAGAAUGAUUAUGUUGAAGCUAAUGAUGUGUGUGAUUAGAACUAUCAUUGUUAAUCAUUUUCGAAAAUAUUAUCUAAAGGCCACACGUUCUGUGAAUGAGAUUGACCGAUCACGCUACAUUCAUAGAUUGAUCUAUGAGAGUGAUGUCACAUGUUAUGAAGAAUUACGCAUGGAUAGACUUUCAUUUAGAAGAUUAGUUAUCAUGCUUGAAACGAUUGGAAGACAGAGGCCUACUAGUAAUCUAACUGUUGAUGAGCAAGUUGCUAUUUCUUGUACAUUCUAGUACAAUGAAAACUAAUUUCAUGCGGUCAGGAGAAACAAUUAGUAGGUAUUUCAAGCUUGUACUAAAUGUCGUUCUUAGGCUUCAUGAUUAUUUACUAAAAGCUCCUUCUCCUGUAACUGAGAAUUCCACUGAUGUGAAAUGGAAAUACUUUAAGGUAUCAUAAAAACACCUUGGUUUAUAUUUAUCUUAUAUACAUAAAUCUUGAAUAUUGAUUUAAUUAAAAUUGUAGAAUUGCAUAGGAGCUCUGGAUGAUACUCAUUUUGAAGUAAAAGUAUCCGAGGUUGAUAAACCUAGAUAUCGAAAUACAAAAGAUUAUACUUCUACAAAUGUUUUAGGAGUAUGUUCACAAGAUAUGAAAAUUAUAUAUAUACUUGCGGGUUGGGAGGCUCCGCGGCAGAUGGUAGAGUUCUUCGAGAUGCUUUAAGUAAAAGAAAUGGAUUACCAAUACAUGAUGUUGAUGCGGGCUACACGAACAGUAAAGGCUUUCUUGCCCCUUUUAGAAGUCAACGAUAUCAUCUUAGUGAAUGGAGGAAUGGGCGUCAACCAACAACUCCAGAAGAAUUUUUUAAUAUGAAGCACGCAUCUGCUAGAAAUGUUAUUGAGAGGUGUUUUGGAAUGCUAAAUAUGCGUUGGGGAAUCAUUAGAAAUUCAAAUUUUUAUCCAAUCAAGCAACAAGGCAGAAUUAUUAUGGGUCAGCAGUCCGCUGAGUUAUUUUCAGCGGCCCGCCGAGAGAAGAACAGUGAGGACAAACCAUUCACAGCGGUCCCUUGAACUGCAGUCAGCGACCGUUGUGGCGAGACAGACGCGGCAUUUUCAUAUAAUGUACAAAGGCAUCCCAAAGGAAUUCCCAAGAUGGGGGAUAACUCAUGAGCUUCAAAGAACGUCAAGCUAAAGACGAAAAACAAGUGCUUCUUGGGAGGCAACCCAUCCAUUUACUUUAAGUUAUUAAGUGCAUUUUGAGUUUAAUUUUCAUUUUUGUUGAUUGAAUUUUUCGCAGGUUCUGGACUUUCCCCAGCGACCGCUGCAGAGCUCGCAGCGGCCCGCUGGGCACUCACUGGAAAUGAUUUGACUCAUCGCCAACGACUGCUGGAGUGCACGCAGCGACCGCUGCCCAAAUACAAUUUUCCAGCCGCAAUUUUUCGAAUUUUUUGAAUUUUUGCCCCGUCCAGCCACUACGCGAAAAAUUUCAAGGUUUGUUUUCUUUUUCGUAGUUUACUCGCGUCCCUACCGACUCUACAAACUUAUUUUACACUUUGUUGUAAAUAAGUUUGGAGGGAUGAAGUGGUGGACCAUGAGUUUAGGUUUUUGCUUUAGUUUUUAGGUUUUUAGUUUUUGUUUUUCUUUUAAAAAAACCCGAAGGUGAAUCCAUGUCAUAAACAUAGCAUGAAGACCUUAGAAACACGCAUGCUUAGGGACAUUUAGACCGAGUUGCCAAUGAUAUGAAGUUCUUUUCAUCUUUGAUUAAGUAUGGCUUGACGUUUUGAUUUGAUGGUUUGGUGAAAAGGUGCAUAAUUA